GCCCAGGUGAAGCCCACUCCUCCCUCUGCAGGAGCUGACCUGCGUGGCAGGGAAGUGAAAAUGUCCCUGAAUGAGACCAACAAUUGCUGAACAAACACAAACCUUAAGAAUCAAGCUGACAUAGGCUGCGUCUCUCCCUGGGGAACACGGAGCUUGGUCUCGGUCACACACAGCAGGAUGGACAAAGUGCCCAUCGUCUGUGACUAUGGCUCGGGCUUCAGCAAGGUGGGGUUUGCAGGAAUGGAAGCCCCCCUGGCUGUGUUCCCAACUGUCCUCGG